rnacentral:rRNA from 1 species
UACGUAGGGUGCGAGCGUGAAUCGGAAUUACUGGGCGUAAAGCGUGCGCAGGCGGUUUUGUAAGUCAGAUGUGAAAUCCCCGGGCUUAACCUGGGAACUGCGUUUGAAACUACAAGGCUAGAGUGUGGCAGAGGGGGGUGGAAUUCCACGUGUAGCAGUGAAAUGCGUAGAGAUGUGGAGGAACACCGAUGGCGAAGGCAGCCCCCUGGGUUAACACUGACGCUCAGGCACGAAAGCGUGGGGAGCAAACAGG